rnacentral:rRNA from 1 species
UACGUAGGUGGCAAGCGUUGUCCGGAAUUAUUGGGCGUAAAGCGCGCGCAGGCGGUUUCUUAAGUCGGAUGUGAAAUCCCUCGGCUCAACCGAGGACGUGCAUACGAAACUGCGGAGCUUGAGUGCUGAAGAGGAUCGCGGAAUUCCCGGUGUAGAGGUGAAAUUCGUAGAUAUCGGGAGGAACACCAGUGGCGAAGGCGGCGAUCUGGGCAGACACUGACGCUGAGGUGCGAAAGCGUGGGGAGCAAACAGG